rnacentral:tRNA from 1 species
AAAGCUUUAAGAUAAAAAAUCUAUUAGUUUUCAAAACUGAAAAUACUGCUGUAAUGUGGUAGGCUUUG